UGCCCGCGAGCUGCCCGCGCGCCCGCCUCCGCCUCCGCUCUGCACCGCACCGCACAGCCGCCGCCCGCUCGCGCCGCCGCCGGCGGGGGGGGGGUGCGUGGGGGAGGGGGCGGCUGCGGCGCCGCGCGGCCAGCCGGGUCCCGAGCCUCCGCGGCCGCUCGCGCUCGCUCGCUCGCUCGCUCCCUCUCUCGCUCCCUCGCUCGCAGGCUCUCUCGCUCCCUCUGCCCCCCCCGCCCCCGCUUCCCCGCUCAGCGCAUUACUGGGUAACGCAGUGAGGAGCAGUUACAGUCUGUACUCCCGGGCAGCUAUAGGCUGCCACAGGAUGUGCUUAAGCAAACAAAACUACUUUUCCUCAUCCCCAUCCCCCAAGCCCCGCCGCAGACCUUCGCGGACCUCGGUGGAGGACUUGGGCAACUUUGCCAGGUUGCCCUGCUCUCCCGGUUCACUGUGUGCGGCACGGAGAAAACCGAGGAGAAGGCCGGGGGGCAAAUUUGCAUGUAUGCAAAUUUUUUUAAAAAUCAGACCUCCUAGGUAACUUUUUUUUCCCCCUCUGAAAUGCGGUACGGCUCAAAGCAUUGUAAUCUCUCCAACGGAGCUUUCUGUGGGAAUAGAUCGUCGGUAGAGGUAAUCGUUCUUAAAAUGGAAAAGAGCUUCCUGCAAUUAUUUUAGGCUUUCCUCCCUGAUGGAAAGAAAGAAAGAAAGAAAGAAACCAAACAAACCAAAAAACCCCUUCUUCCUUCUGAUCCCCAUCCCAUCCCCUCCUCCUCAUCUUUCUCACUCUAGUUUGCAAGCCUGCUGCAUCUGAGAAUCCUUCUCAGAAUUCCGAAAGGAAAGAUCAGGGUGAAAGGCACUGGCACACAGACAGGAGAAUCUGCACCUUGGGAGAGGUUACAUAGCCAGGGAGCCUCUGGAGAGAGGAAACUCCUGUAGGAAUGCCCACUCUGCAGAAGAGAAACGUCCUAAAAGCUAAGCUGAGUUACAGAGAC